rnacentral:lncRNA from 1 species
UGUGAAUUUAAAUUUAAUCACUUACCUACAAUGCACCACAUAUGUUCCUAUACAUCUGUAUAUUUUAACUAGUUGUACUAUGCAAAUGCAGUAAACAGGGCUUUACAAAAGAGCACAAGUUCCUUAUAUGCCUUUUUUGGGUAACUAACUGCUGCAUCCUGUGGUAGUCAUAGAAGUGGAAGUUAUGCGGUUUCAAACUGAGCACUCGCUGUCCUGAGGAAGGAACACACAUUUGACUAGACCUUAUCUUCUGUAAAGAUGUGCUGCACAUCAAUUCAUCUCCUCAUUGGUGCCUUACUUGUCUUUGCUAUUGAAAAUGUGGCCACAGCCAGGGAAAACAGCACAGAAAAUAACACAGCUCCAGUUUCAGUGCCUUCAUACACCACCACCCAAUUCAAAGAAACAGACUUUACCAUUCCAAACGUCACUGUUACCCUGCCAAACAAGACGGCUGUGAAUACCACAUCAGCAUCAGAAUUGCCUACUCCACCUCCCCCAGAACGUCCGCAGACCAACAAUUUCACCACAGGCGAUUCUCUGAAGACCAUUGCACAAUCAAGCACAAUUAAUAUGAUCAAAAGCACAACUAUUAGCAAAGCAACUAUAACUACAGCAGUAAAAACUACAGUUUCGACAACAACGCAAUCGGGGACAAAAACUUUUAUAGUUAUCUUUAUUAUUGCCAUUCUGUGCCUUGCUGGGGUAUUAGUUUAUUGUUGCCUUAAAAAGAAAUCUAGGAAGUACUCUGUGGACUUACAUCCCAAACACGAAGAUGCUCAGAUCCCACUCAGCACAGUGGAUGCAGAGGUGUUUGACACCACAUCAGUCAAAGAUAUGCAAACGUUCACUCCUGUCGAGUCCACCGAGCCGCUUAAGGACCCUGCGCCUGAAUCUGAGAAGCCUGAGGGAGAGAAAGAAUCAGCUGAUGUUAAACAAGAAAACCAACAGAAUUUAUCCAGCACUCAGGCCACAGAGAACCCAAAGGAUAAAAUGGAGGGGCUGACCGUAGUGGAUCUGACUGAUGGAGAACCGACGAUCUCCACCAAAACCUCAAUGGAAUCCCUAGAUGAUGUUCUCAAUGAAAACAACAGCAACAAUACAAGAGUCAAGGGCAAUGGGCAUGAUUUCACUGAAAUCUCUAUUGAUGCUUUACUUCUAAAAUAAAUCAGGUUCUUCCCAGCAUUUUACAAUGAUCUCUGAACCUGACUGAUGGAUUGUACUGGAACUGGAAGUAACAGCUGAACUAAAUUCAUUGUUAGAACAACCUUGUUUUUGAAUAUACAUACAGCACUAAGAAAAGUCUCUGUAUACAUUUUCACUAGUCUUUACUCAUAUUUUAAAUGUCAUUGUGUGUUUUAUGGUUAAAAGGAAAUAUACAUAAACUUAAUGGAGUGCAACUUAAUGGAGAAACUUCUGCAGAUUUUUGUUCCUACAUUGUAUUUCAAUUAGCAUACUAUUACCUGUUAUGUUAGAUUUUAAUAUUGUAACUUGUUAAUUAUAAUUUUGUAAAUGUUCAACCAGCUUUUUAUUGUUGUUGGCUGUAUGUGUAAAUGAACAAUGUGUACUUUUUCCAUGUUAUUGCAGUAACCACAAAAUUAACUUGUCAGGUGUAUGUUCUGUCUGUAUUACUGUAAUAAAGCAAGUUUACUGUAGGAAAACUGUAUUAGAAACUGCUUUAAGUACCAAGCAGAUGCCAGCAUAGAUGCUUCCUUGACAAGCCUGUAAUAAAAGUUUUAUUUCUGGUUUGAAGUAGUUAAGAUUGCAUUUAUGAGUUGCCUCCUCCUACAAACUUUGAUACCAGAAUACAGACUAUCAGCUGUUUCGUGACAGUUGAAAGAACUUCAUACUCAACGAUAUUACAAUAAAUUAUAAUAAAAUGUUUUACUCAUCUAUAAUGUGUUGUCUCCGACAAAGUGUCUUAAUUUAAAUUUUACUAAACUUUUAUAUUGCCUCCAGUGGCAAAUUUCCAGAUAUUAAGUCAUGUUCUGGCCGCCCAUUUUACUUAUUACUACAGCUACAGUUCAACAGUAACCACAAAAUUAACUUGUCAGGUGUAUGUUCUGUCUGUAUUACUGUAAUAAAGCAAGUUUACUGUAGGAAAACUGUAUUAGAAACUGCUUUAAGUACCAAGCAGAUGCCAGCAUAGAUGCUUCCUUGACAAGCCUGUAAUAAAAGUUUUAUUUCUGGUUUGAAGUAGUUAAGAUUGCAUUUAUGAGUUGCCUCCUCCUACAAACUUUGAUACCAGAAUACAGACUAUCAGCUGUUUCGUGACAGUUGAAAGAACUUCAUACUCAACGAUAUUACAAUAAAUUAUAAUAAAAUGUUUUACUCAUCUAUAAUGUGUUGUCUCCGACAAAGUGUCUUAAUUUAAAUUUUACUAAACUUUUUAUAUUGCCUCCAGUGGCAAAUUUCCAGGUGCAUACUGGAACACCACAAACCAUGUGUGCUGUGUGAUAAAAGACAGGAAUUAGUUGUCACUUCAGAAAAUCAAACACCUGAACAUCAGAAGUCCUUGAACUGACAUGUUUAUAAAAACAAGAGGAAGAGGAAUGUGAGGAAGUUGUAGGUGAUGUAUAGUGAGGGCAUCUAUGCUGCCCUGUGGAUAAUAUCUAGAAUCUUAAAUCAAAAUCAUGAACAUAAAUAGAACAUAAAAUAAAUGAAAAAAAGAAUGCUUUUAAAAUACAAGAAGUAGAAUAGGUUGUGCUGAUAUUAUAUUUUUAAUAUUAAAUAAAUAAGGAAUAAUUGGCAAUGGGUCUUUGUGUUGUGGCCACAUUACCACCUCUGGUGUGCAUUAUUUUCUAAUUAUUCAGACCUGAGUCAAUUAUUCUGCUUAAGCUACAGUUACCACACAUCAAGACAUUGUUCAAAUGCA